GGCUCAGUUGGUAGAGCACGGCGCUUGUAACACCAGGGUUGUGGGUUCCAUUCCCAC
rnacentral:tRNA from 1 species